rnacentral:rRNA from 1 species
CCUACGGGUGGCAGCAGUGGGGGAUAUUGCACAAUGGGGGAAACCCUGAUGCAGCGACGCCGCGUGGGUGAAGAAGCGCCUCGGCGCGUAAAGCCCUGUCAGCAGGGAAGAAAAUGACGGUACCUGAAGAAGAAGCCCCGGCUAACUACGUGCCAGCAGCCGCGGUAAUACGUAGGGGUCAAGCGUUCUCCGGAUUUACUGGGUGUAAAGGGGGCGCAGACGGCGAUGCACGCCAGGAGUGAAAGCCCGGGGCCCAACCCCGGGACUGCUCUUGGAACUGCGUGGCUAGAGUGCAGGAGGGGCAGGCGGAAUUCCUGGUGUAGCGGUGAAAUGCGUAGAUAUCAGGAGGAACACCGGUGGCGAAGGCGGCCUGCUGGACUGCAACUGACGUUGAGGCCCGAAAGCGUGGGGAGCAAACAGGAUUAGAUACCCCAGUAGUC